AUCACAGAUAAUUCAAUUUAUGCCUCUAUGAGAAAUAUAUUAUAUUUUUCACCUUAGGAUUAUUCCGCAUAUCCCUGCGCAGUCUGCAGGAUAUGUGCCUUUAUCGCAGCGCAGUUAUCAUAUAACCUUUCAUUGCGAAAGCGCAAGCGUGUCCUUUCACGCAGAGUAAACAAUCAAAAUCUUUCAUUUUGUUGCGCCAUUUUUGUUAGCCUGGUAGUGCCUUGAAAAAAAAAAAUGUUUGUGGAAAAGCCUUUAAGGGGACCUGCGUACAUGGGGCCUCAAUUAUUGGUCAGCUUCUUAGCGGAGAAUCAUCGGUGCCUGUAAUUUAUGCAGUGGAAAUUAUCCCCAUAGCGUGGAACCUGUUACGGUGGAGGCACAGAUGGGUUUUGGCAGGGGUCGCUGUUUACCUCGACGACCCCCUAUGGAAAAUUGUGAAACAAGGGGACCCUUUUGCCCAUGCAUUUGAGAAGUUCUAGGAAUGCAGUGAUCGUGAUUUCCUGUCAAUUAAGGGCAGUAUUGUUUUUGGUCAUUAUAACAAAACAAAUAAUGUUUUAACACUGUUUAACGUUGCAUAUUUGGAGCAGCUUUAGAAUCAUUGUUUAUUUAUACUCCAUUUUGGUUAAGCUGCAUGCCUUUAUAAAAUACAGGCUAACUGGCGGUGCAACAGCUAGGGCAGAUCAUUUUCAUAACUUAUAUUUAUUUACCAUAUGUUACUGUACCUGUUACCACUUCAUGGGUUCUCCUUGUGAUUUUUUCUUUCUGAUGUACAGUAAAUUCAUAUAAUGGAAAUAAUAGCAUUCAUGUCAAAGUUAUUUACGAAAUAGUUAUUUAACUUGUAUCAUUGCCCCGAUUAUGAUACCUCCUUUUCAUCGAGAGAAUUGUUAGCUGUCUCAGCGAAUGAAAUCUCACCAUUGCCUAUCAUGUGUACCUAAUCUAUUUACAGUCAUUGUUAUGCAGCUGCAUCAAAAUUGUGAAUUUUAUAUGACUGUUUGAUUCUACAAUUUUAUUUAUCCUGUUUACACUGGAGUUAAUAACCUGCCUGAUCAUGGAACCUGUUUACACAUAAUUUAUGGCCGUGGUGCCCCUGGUGGUUGAUAGAAUCAUUGUUUACACAUGGAAAUAUUGGAUUGUUUACAAACACAUGCAUGUGUUAAAUCAAGUAUUAAACUUUCUUCAGUGCACAUGCACAUGUUAAAUCAUUCCAGCAGAUCAAACUUUCUUCUAUAGUAUAUUCAUAAGAAUUACUAAAUUAAGACAUUUCUGUGUGUGCCAUUUAUAAUAGCUCUAUCAUUGGAACAUUGUUUUUCUUUUCUACUAAUGGGAAAUAUAUUUCAUGUCAUUGGGAUUUGAAAUCAUUUCAAUCUUCUGCAUGAUGCAGUGUGCAAAUUUUAGAUAAAAUAAACCGAGAGCAAUUGAUUAUCUGCACAAAAUGUGUCAAAAGGGUUAUCGGUAAAUUAACCUGUCCGCUGAUCUACACAUAUUUGCUUUUUAUGAAUCUGUGAGGUCAAUUAGGUCACCACGGGAUGUCAGCUGGAGUAUCAUGGAUUAUACUCCUGGCUCCGGAUUGAGUCCAUCUUCAGUAAACUCCAUUUACUGUCCAGACAGUACAUCGAUGCUCAGGGCCAAACUGAACUAUAAAGCGAUCAACACCUAACUUCAUGCAGUACCAUCUAAGGCACAACAUGGAGAGGCAAUGGAGUCUACAAAUUUCAUAUGGCGGAAAUUGUGCAUUAUUGGAAUGGUAACUGCAAAAUUGUUGAAACAGUGCUCUCAAAUCAAACCUCUAAUGCUGACAUAUGAUCAAGAGAUCAACAAGAUCAUUCAAGAAUUAAGGUGCUCUGGACAUGAUGUCAGCUGUCUUCAUAGUAAACUAUUGGAAAAAUGAUGCUACCAAAGUUUGAAAUCCAAACCACCAGGAAGGACAAGCUACACUGCAAUAUGCUCAAGCCCCUCCUAUGGAUUCUAUGUGGAUAUCUGUGUUGAAUGGCAAAUAUCAUUUAUCUGACAGGUAAUUCCAAGGAACAUCAUAUAGAGUAGUCAGCAUCUGUCUUUAAUCUACUGUAUAAAUUAAGAUGAGGCAAUGCAUUAGCUUCUUAUGUAACAUUAAUUUUUGUAUCAUUAAUGUUGUAAAUCUGGUCAUGAGGCCAGCAAAUGGUUUAUCAUAUAUUGCAAAAUGUACAUCCUCUAUUGUCAUCAACUCUGUAUAAUUCAGCUCAAUUUUUAUGAUGUCAACACUUAGUUGCUUUUGUAAAAUGUAUUUUAGUUACUGAGCUUAGUUUUGAUGUACUUGUAAUGUCUCCAUAAUCUGCUUACUAAUGUCAAUGAGCUCAGCAUUGAAACCGGCCUGCAUAGUCUUUGAGCUACAUGUAAGAUGAUGGCUACUCAUUAAAAAUGUAUGCUUAAAUCUGCCAGCAUAGACUUGAAUUACUGUAAGUUUCAUAGUUCAGCGGAUAGCUGCUCAUGUAAAUUGUAUGUUAAAAUCGGCUUGCAUAGUCUUGAGCUAAGAUAGUAUUACAUAGUUCAGCGGAUAGCUGCCCAUGUAUAUUGUAUGUUAAAAUCUGCUUGCAUAGUCUUGAGUUCAGAUACAUAGUUCAGUGGAUAGCUGCUCACAUAAAUUGUAUGUAAAAAUCUGCUUGCAUAGUCUUGAGUUAGAUACAUGAGUUCAACGGAUAGCUGUUCAUGAAAAUUGUAUGAUGAAAUCUGGCUUGCAUAGUCUUGAAUUAAGAUACAUGAGUUCAGCGAAUUGGUGCUCAUGUUAACUGUGUAUAAAAAUCUGCAUGCAUAGUCUUCGGUUAAGAUACACGAGUGCAGCGGAUAGCUGCUCAUGUAAAUUGUAUGUUAAAAAUUCUGCCUACAUUGUCUUGAGAUUAAGACCUUCAUAAUUGGCUUCCCUUGAUCCACAAUUAAACAGCUUACAGGUGAAUGUUAAUGUCUUUGUUGCAUCAGAAUUUGUUAUUUGUCAAGAACACCUAGUCUUAAAAGUAUGUGAUAUCAUAUGAACUUCAACUUUAAUGUUGUUUUAUAAAAUGCUGUAAUUUCUGUAUUUUACUGAUUUUAUGAAAUAUUUUCUUUGAUUUUUCUCCUUGUUUGGCGUCAACCCCUCACUGCGUGACACUACGUGAGGGCUUGUGGCGCAAUUGUUUGGACGCCUCCAAGGAUUUACUCAUUUAUGUUAUAUUUUAUGCAUAUUUACAUGUACUCUGAUAUGUUCACUGCAUGUAAAUUUCUAGUCAGUCUCAGGGGGAUCACACUUGUACCUUUCACCUAUGUACAUGUAACCUGUAUUGUUUAAUAUUAGGUGAUCCCCCUUAAUGAUUUGUUUUACAUUUUACUUUAUGUCAUUGAAUUAAAUGACAUAAUCGACAAAACUGCA